rnacentral:lncRNA from 1 species
AGGUCUCUAGCAGCCAUAAUUUUCCUGCAUGACUACCUCCACUGGCUGAACUCUGCCUCCAGGGCACUGUCCGACAGCCAGCAGGCUAUAGCCCCAGGAGUUGAAGGAGCCGAAGAGGAGACUGCAGGAACAGUUCAAAAGGAGACAAGUACUCUGGAGCCAAAUCAUGGCCUGAAGCUGGAGAGGAGCUGCUCCCCAGUUCAGAGAUGGAACUUUUUACUGAUGGGAGCCGAAGGCUAUGGCAGGGCAAUAAUAGCCCCGCAUAUCAAGAGACUCCAAGGACCAGUAUGUGGAGAAAGGAGACUGCUCACCUCGGGGAACACAACAGGUAAAACAAAAAAACAAACCCGGCAUCUCCUAGAGGCUUCCUGACCUCUGUAGUAAUAGUAAUACUCACCCAAAACCAAAGGAUGAAUAAGCUGGGGAAAAGAAGUGGCAGACCAGACUACCCUCAGGGAAUCAUAGACCAGUAGUCCCCUCCCCUUACCACCAGAAGCUAUGCUUCAAUGACUGAAGACGGAGCUACUAAACAUCAGGAAAACUAAUUACUAAAGAUAGAAAAAUAGGGCUGGAGAGGUGGCUCAGUGGUUAGAGCACUGACUGCUCUCCCAGAGGUCCGGAGUUCAAAUCCCAGCAACCACAUGGUGGCUCACAGCCAUCUGUGACGAGAUCUGACGCCCUCUCCUGGUAUGCCUGAAGACAGCGACAGUGUACUCAUAUAUAAU